GAUGAACGCUGGCGGCGUGCCUAAUACAUGCCAGUCGAGCGAACAGACGAGGAGCUUGCUCCUCUGACGUUAGCGGCGGACGGGUGAGUAACACGUGGAUAACCUACCUAUAAGACUGGGAUAACUUCGGGACACCGGAGCUAAUACCGGAUAAUAUAUUGAACCGCAUGGUUCAAUAGUGAAAGACGGUUUUGCUGUCACUUAUAGAUGGAUCCGCGCCGCAUGAGCUAGUUGGUAAGGUAACGGCUUACCAAGGCAACGAUGCGUAGCCGACCUGAGAGAGUGAUCGGCCACACGGGAACUGAGACACGGUCCAGACUCCUACGGGAGGCAGCAGUAGGGAAUCUUCCGCAAUGGGCGAAAGCCUGACGGAGCAACGCCGCGUGAGUGAUGAAGGUCUUCGGAUCGUAAAACUCUGUUAUUAGGGAAGAACAAAUGUGUAAGUAACUAUGCACGUCUUGACGGUACCGAAUCAGAAAGCCACGGCUAACUACGUG
rnacentral:rRNA from 1 species